AUAUUAUACAACACAGUAUACAAAACUCAAAAGUUAUAAUGCAUAACGAAUGAGGCGCGAGGCGGUAUUUAUUAUAGGAGCAGUUUCAAUUAAACACGACAUUACUUGUGGUUGGCAAAUAAUCCUUUGUUUAGUGUAGCAGCGCAAGAAUCUUCAGAAAUCGUUUGAAUGACAAAAUGUUAAGACGAAGAGUUUUCUCAUGUGCGUUAUCACUGGUGAUCAUUGUUCAAACCGCAUUGAUAAUUACAGUCGGAUUUUUCCUGCCGAAGCUGAGCCGUGUAUUCGUCGGAGUGUAUGACAAGAAUUUCAUACAUGUAAAUAACAUACAUGCAAUUGAUAAAGGAACGCAACAGAAUAUUCUAUAUAAAAAUGGUCUCCAUAAUCAAACAGCUGAUAUAGGAUACCUUAUCCCAAAGAUAAGCGAAAGUUUUGGACGCAAUCUGCAAAUAAAUUUCGGUGAUGGUGUUCAAUCAAAGCUGACAUUUGAUUAUGCAGAAUUGCAUAUCCCUGCAAAAAUUAGCAGCUACUCAGGAAAUCAACGAACAAACAGGUCAGAAACGUAUAAAAAAUACGUUUUUGUUCAUUCAUCGUACACAGAACAAAUGUCAAUGAGUAUGUUAAGUGUUCUAAGUCUUUGUGGACAAGCCCAAUUUGGUGGAAGGAGGGUUGUGAGACCAUUUAUUUUUAAAUCCAGAUUUGUCAGCACUGAAAAUGGUAAAUCAUUGGGCACUCUUUUUGACUUGAAAUACUUGGAUGAAUUAUUAGACCAUGCUGGAUAUGCACCCAUGGUUAGUAAAAAGGAAUACGUUUCUG